GAGCGAAAGCAGGGGCAGGGAAGAGAAGCAGGCUCCAUGCAGAGCAGGGAGUCCAACGUGGGGCUGGAUCCCAUGACCCUGGAUCAUGACCUGAGCUGAAGGCAGAUGCUUCCCUGACUGAACCACCGAGGACCUACACUUAAGUCUAAUCCAUUGGAAAUUAAUUUUUGAGAGUGGUAUAAGAGAUAUUCAGAAUAAGAAGAUUCUUUUGAUCUACUCUACACUUACUAAGAAUGAAGGCGCCAGCUUAAAAGUACGAAGUUUUACAACACUGAAAAUGCU